UACGGAGGGUGCGAGCGUUGUCCGGAAUCAUUGGGCGUAAAGGGCGCGUAGGUGGCCCGGUCAGUCUUUGGUGAAAGCGCGGGGCUCAACCCUGCGUCGGCCAGGGAUACUGCCGCGGCUGGAGCACUGUAGAGGCAGGCGGAAUUCCGGGGUGAUAGGCGGUGAAUGCGUAGAGAUCCGGAAGAACACCGGUGGCGAAGGCGGCCUGCUGGCAGUUUGCUGACACUGAGGCGCGACAGCGUGGGGAG
rnacentral:rRNA from 1 species